rnacentral:rRNA from 1 species
ACGAAGGGGGCUAGCGUUGCUCGGAAUCACUGGGCGUAAAGCGCACGUAGGUGGGUCGUUAAGUUGAGGGUGAAAUCCCAGGGCUCAACCCUGGAACUGCCUUCAAUACUGGCGACCUUCGAGUCCGGGAGAGGUGAGUGGAACUGCGAGUGUAGAGGUGAAAUUCGUAGAUAUUCGGAAGAACACCAGUGGCGAAGGCGACUCACUGGACACGUAUUGACGCUGAGGUGCGAAAGCGUGGGGAGCGAACAGGA